CCUACGGGUGGCAGCAGUGGGGAAUAUUGGACAAUGGGCGAAAGCCUGAUCCAGCCAUGCCGCGUGUGUGAAGAAGGCCUUCGGGUUGUAAAGCACUUUCAGUGGGGAAGAAAGCCUUGGGGCUAAUACCCUCGAGGAAGGACAUCACCCACAGAAGAAGCACCGGCUAACUCCGUGCCAGCAGCCGCGGUAAUACGGAGGGUGCGAGCGUUAAUCGGAAUUACUGGGCGUAAAGCGCGCGUAGGCGGUCUGAUAAGCCGGUUGUGAAAGCCCCGGGCUCAACCUGGGAACGGCAUCCGGAACUGUGCGGCUAGAGUGCAGGAGAGGAAGGUAAAAUUCCCGGUGGAGCGGUGAAAUGCGUAGAGAUCGGGAGGAAUACCAGUGGCGAAGGCGGCCUUCUGGACUGACACUGACGCUGAGGUGCGAAAGCGUGGGUAGCAAACAGGAUUAGAUACCCCAGUAGUC
rnacentral:rRNA from 1 species